rnacentral:rRNA from 1 species
GCCCAGUGACACAAUGUUCAACGGCCGCGGUAUCCUAACCGUGCAAAGGUAGCAUAAUCAUUUGCCUAUUAAUUGUAGGCUAGAAUGAAGGGGUUAACGAAAUAAAGACUGUCUCAAUUAGUCAUCUAAAAAUUAUUAUCUACUUGAAGAAAAGUAGAUAAUCUCGAAGGACAAGAAGACCCUAUAGAGCUUAAUUUUAACUAUAGAACUAAACUAUAUAAAUAUUCGGUUGGGGCGACCCAGGGCUAAAUAAUCACCCGCUACAUAAAAGAUAUAUUAAUCAAAUAAUUGACCCUUUAAAGAUCAUAAGACCAAGCUACCUUAGGGAUAACAGGCUAAUCCCACUCAAGAGUCCUUAUCAACAGUGGGGUUUGGCACCUCGAUGUUGGCUUAGGGUAUCUAUAUAGCGCAAAAGUUAUAUAAAGAUGGUUUGUUCAACCAAUAAAUUCCCUACAUGAGCUGAGUUCAGACCGGCGUAAGCCAGGUUAGCUUCUAUCCUCGACCACAUACUCUACUCCUAGUACGAAAGGACCUGAGCAGAAUAAUUACUUAUAUAAAAGAAUACAUAUAAUUAAAUAUAAAAACACCACACUAUAAACUAUAUAAGUGUGUUGGCAGAAUAGUGCAAUUGAUUUAGAAUCAAUUUAUGGAAUUAAGCACCACACACUAUACUGUGACUUAGUUUAUUUAGAACAAUCAACUUGCACUUGAUAAGAGAGAUCACUCAGUGACGGUUUGAAGUUUGGGAAACACCAGAUUUUGAACAUCUAUAAAAACGUUCAACUCGUUGUCAAACCUUAACAAGGUGGCAGAAUA